UACGUAGGGGGCGAGCGUUGUCCGGAUUUAUUGGGCGUAAAGCGUGCGUAGGCGGCUGCGCAAGUCGGGUGUGAAACCCCGGGGCUCAACCCCGGAACUGCAUCCGAUACUGCGUGGCUAGAGGUAGGUAGGGGAGAUCGGAAUUCCUGGUGUAGCGGUGAAAUGCGCAGAUAUCAGGAGGAACACCGGUGGCGAAGGCGGAUCUCUGGGCCUUACCUGACGCUCAUGCACGAAAGCGUGGGGAGCAAACAGG
rnacentral:rRNA from 1 species